rnacentral:rRNA from 1 species
UACAGAGGGGGCAAGCGUUGUUCGGAAUUAUUGGGCGUAAAGGGCGCGUAGGCGGCUUGGCAAGUGGAUGGUGAAAUCCCUCGGCUUAACCGAGGAACUGCCGUCCAAACUGCUUAGCUUGAGACCGGGAGAGGUGAGUGGAAUUCCCAGUGUAGCGGUGAAAUGCGUAGAUAUUGGGAGGAACACCAGUGGCGAAGGCGGCUCACUGGACCGGUACUGACGCUGAGGCGCGAAAGCGUGGGGAGCAAACGGG